ensembl:lncRNA
GUUCAGCGUACUCUGGCAUAUUUGGUAUCUAUGUUGUCGGCAUAAGCCAAGGACUAUUUUGAUACCAGUUUCAUUGCAAUAGGCUAAUGCAAUAAAAAGUUAUUAGCAUUUUUAUAUAUGUAAUUAUUAAUGGUUAAUGAAUGGUUUAUUACUCUUGACCAAUAAGUGGCGCUGUUACCAAAUUGAUGUGGCAUGGUCAGUGUGAGGUGACAAUGGCACCUACAAAGUUUGGUGCAAAAAUGUCAAAGCUUUGCCGAGAUACAGCCUCAGAUGUGUUUUGGCAUCUUACGAACAAAUUCGUUGAUGCGCUAAACGAAAACCGUUUUGUAUAUCAACACGAAUUCCAUAACUUUUUGUCAGCUUGGUCUGAAGAUGAUCCGAACCAAAUUUGGUGAAAAUCGGACUAACGGUCUAGGAGGAGUUCGAAAAAGUAGGUUUUCAACUUUAAUCAAAAUGGAGGACAGGAAGUAUGGCCAAUUUUGGAAUAAUUGGUAUCGAUGUUCUCGGCAUGACCCAAAGAAUAUAGAGACAUAACUUUCAUUGCAAUAGUCUAAUUUUUUCAAAAGUUAUUAGCAUUUUUAAGAUAUUUCAUUAUAACUUUUGACCACAAGGUGGCGCUGCCACCAAACUUUUUGAGUAGCUUCAGGGCAUGG